rnacentral:rRNA from 2 species
GACCUCAAAUCAGGUAGGAGUACCCGCUGAACUUAAGCAUAUCAAUAAGCGGAGGA